UGGUCUGAGAGGAUGAUCAGUCACACUGGAACUGAGACACGGUCCAGACUCCUACGGGAGGCAGCAGUAGGGAAUAUUGCGCAAUGGGGGAAACCCUGACGCAGCAACGCCGCGUGGAGGAUGACACUUUUCGGAGCGUAAACUCCUUUUCUUAGGGAAGAAUUCUGACGGUACCUAAGGAAUAAGCACCGGCUAACUCCGUGCCAGCAGCCGCGGUAAUACGGAGGGUGCAAGCGUUACUCGGAAUCACUGGGCGUAAAGGGCGCGUAGGCGGAUUAUCAAGUCUCUUGUGAAAUCUAAUGGCUUAACCAUUAAACUGCUUGGGAAACUGAUAGUCUAGAGUGAGGGAGAGGCAGAUGGAAUUGGUGGUGUAGGGGUAAAAUCCGUAGAUAUCACCAAGAAUACCCAUUGCGAAGGCGAUCUGCUGGAACUCAACUGACGCUAAGGCGCGAAAGCGUGGGGAGCAAACAGGAUUAGAUACCCUGGUAGUCCACGCCCUAAACGAUGUACACUAGUUGUUGGGGUGCUAGUCAUCUCAGUAAUGCAGCUAACGCAUUAAGUGUACCGCCUGGGGAGUACGGUCGCAAGAUUAAAACUCAAAGGAAUAGACGGGGACCCGCACAAGCGGUGGAGCAUGUGGUUUAAUUCGAAGAUACGCGAAGAACCUUACCUGGGCUUGAUAUCCUAAGAACCUUUUAGAGAUAAGAGGGUGCUAGCUUGCUAGAACUUAGAGACAGGUGCUGCACGGCUGUCGUCAGCUCGUGUCGUGAGAUGUUGGGUUAAGUCCCGCAACGAGCGCAACCCACGUAUUUAGUUGCUAACGGUUCGGCCGAGCACUCUAAAUAGACUGCCUUCGUAAGGAGGAGGAAGGUGUGGACGACGUCAAGUCAUCAUGGCCCUUAUGCCCAGGGCGACACACGUGCUACAAUGGCAUAUACAAUGAGACGCAAUACCGCGAGGUGGAGCAAAU
rnacentral:rRNA from 1 species